rnacentral:rRNA from 1 species
GAUGAACGCUGGCGGCGUGCCUAAUACAUGCAAGUCGAGCGAACAGACGAGGAGCUUGCUCCUCUGACGUUAGCGGCGGACGGGUGAGUAACACGUGGAUAUCCUACCUAUAAGACUGGGAUAACUUCGGGAAACCGGAGCUAAUACCGGAUAAUAUAUUGAACCGCAUGGUUCAAUAGUGAAAGACGGUUUUGCUGUCACUUAUAGAUGGAUCCGCGCCGCAUUAGCUAGUUGGUAAGGUAACGGCUUACCAAGGCGACGAUGCGUAGCCGACCUGAGAGGGUGAUCGGCCACACUGGAACUGAGACACGGUCCAGACUCCUACGGGAGGCAGCAGUAGGGAAUCUUCCGCAAAGGGCGAAAGCCUGACGGAGCAACGCCGCGUGAGUGAUGAAGGUCUUCGGAUCGUAAAACUCUGUUAUUAGGGAAGAACAAAUGUGUAAGUAACUAUGCACGUCUUGACGGUACCUAAUCAGAAAGCCACGGCUAACUACGUG